UAGAUAACGCCUCACAAACAAAAACUAA
rnacentral:sRNA from 1 species